UGAAAUUUUUUAAAAAAUGUUUAAGGUUAAUGUAAAAGCCAAAUAUUAUUUAUUGGAGACCAAAAUGUGUGGCAUGGAAACAGAAUAGUGGAAAGCUAGGUGACAUAGCGAGAGGCAUGGAGACAGGUUCUGCAGGGCCUGGAGGUUAUUCUGCAAAUCUGGAGGCUCAGAAGUAAUUUUUAGAGUAAUCAUGGCCCCUCGGCACUGAAGCACCCUCCCUCAACAGUCCAGCACCUCUCAAACCAAUUGCUUCCACCUACUGUUCUGAAGUAUAUACAUAUUCUGAUGGGAAACAAUUCCAGGAAAUAAUGAAUCCUGAAAUAAACCAUUCAGAGCCCUACUAUACUCCAGCCCGCUCUCACCCACAUCUUUGGCAAUGUCCUCACUUAUAAGAUAUCAAGAAAGUCACCAUGUGAUUGUAAGACAAUUAGUUACAGUUGACGGAGAAAGAAAUUAGGUUGCCAAAUUGAAAGCCCCAAACUAUUUCCAAGGGUAUAGACAACAUUCAAGUCAACAAUCAAAUAAUAAAUAAUUCUGGUGCUCAGAACGGCUUUCCCAGGCUUUGAAUUCUGUCUAAAGAGUUCUUGAAAGGGUUUCCAGGAAAGUGCAAUAUUUUGGCCUCAACCAUGUUGACGUCUAUUGGACUGAAACAAACAGACAGACAAGACAAAAUAAAUUUAUGAUUGGCUCAGUACUGUUCCUACCCUUAAAAUUUGUUGUGUCUAUAGCAAUAGUGAAACAAUUCUUUAAACCGGUUUUAGUUCAAUCCAAAAACUAAUGAAAUUACCUAUAAAUGCUGUUAGAAGAUUUCCCUCAAUAGUUGCUGUGUCUAUUUCAUUUGUUUCAUUGUCCACAUUGAAGAUCUCUCUCCAGUUAUUAUAUCCAACCCUUUUCAAGUGAAAUAAAUAAGACUAUUUUUUAAUGGUGAUUUCACUGUAAGUAAUGUGCAUUAAAUCUCUGCUGCCUUUUCAUGUUUAUUUUAUUCAAAUUCUGUUUACUUUUUAAUCAAAUUCUGUUCAAAUACUGUUUGAUUUCUAAUCCAAUUCUGUUCAAAUUCUAUUCUGUUCUAAUCUUUAUCAUUUUCAAUUCAAAAUUAAAUCUCUGUUGACAGAGACAUUCCCAUCUGGCACUUUAAUUUUAGUUUUUAAGAAUAGGUUUGGAAAAAUGUUUCAGCAGCGCCAAUUUUUCACUCAAAAUGUACAUAUUCAAUUAUUUCUCCCCACCCUGGAAAAUCUUAUAAGGUUGUUAGUUUUUCAGCAGAGAGAUUCUUUCAUUCCAGAAUGAAGACUUCACACCUCUUUUAUGAGAAUAAGAUAAUAUUCUUGAGGAACUUUAAAUUUCCCACAAGAAGAAAACAUAAGAAUUGAUCAGUCUGCUAAAUUUGAGAAGAUGACUUCAAGACAUAAAAGUAGGGCUGGGCAGAGUUACAUUAACAAAAAUCAAUGAAGAGUUUGUUAACACACGCUAGAAAAUAUUUGGAUUGUGUCCAGCCCUAGAGAAAGGGCUUUCAACUCAUUAGCAGUAAAAGUGAUAGACAGGACCUAAUAAAGGUAAAAAAAAUUCAUAAAAAAAGAAGACCAUAAAUGUUUCUAUAUAAUUACUGAAUUUGAGCAUAAA
rnacentral:lncRNA from 1 species